AACGUAGGGUCCAAGCGUUGUCCGGAUUUACUGGGCGUAAAGAGCGCGUAGGCGGUCUGUUAAGUGUAGAGUGAAAUCUCCAGGGCUCAACCCGGAAACUGCUCUGCAUACUGGCAGACUGGAGUGAUGCAGAGGUUUGUGGAAUUCCUGGUGUAACGGUGAAAUGUGUUGAUAUCAGGAGGAACACCCAUGGCGAAGGCAGCAAACUGGGCAUUAACUGACGCUGAGGCGCGAAAGCGUGGGUAGCAAACAGG
rnacentral:rRNA from 1 species